rnacentral:rRNA from 1 species
AAAACAAGUACGCUGUUAUCCCCAGAGUAACUUAUUCUAUUAAUCUCAAAUUAAAGGAUCAAUAUAAAAUAAAUCCAUAAUAAAAAUAUAAAUAUAUAGAAGUUUAAAUUCAAUAGCCGCCCCAGCCCAACUUUUAAAUAAAAACUCAUUCAUAAAUCUUAUUUAAAAGUAAAGAUUCAUGUCCGGUCUGAACUCAAAUCGUGUAAGUUUCUAAAGUCGAACAGAGUAAAAAGCAUAAGAUGCUACUCCUAUCAUUAAACUUAAUCCAACAUCGAGGUCGCAAGCUCUUUCACCGAUAAGAACUUUCUAUAACAAUUACGCUGUUAUCCCCAGAGUAACUUAUUCUAUUAAUCUUAAAUUAAAGGAUCAAUAUAAAAUAAAUCCAUAAUAAAAAUAUAAAAAUAUAGAAGUUUAAAUUCAAUAGCCGCCCCAGCCCAACUUUUAAAUAAAAACUCAUUAAUAAAUCUUAUUUAAAAGUAAAGAUUCAUGGGGUCUUCUCGUCCCGCUAAUAGAAAUCUCAUCUUUCUCAAUAAGAAAUUAAUUUCAAUUUAUAUUUAAACUGAGACAAUGCCUCUCUCAUCACCC